GUGACACUCAGUGAAUUUUGUUUUUUAUUUUGUUGUAGAGAUGGGACCUCAGUAUGUUGCCACGGCUGACCUUGAACUCCUGCACUCAAGGGAUUUUCCUGCCCUGGCCUCCCAAAGUAUUGGUAUUACAGGCAUGAGCCAUUGUGCCCACCGUCUCUGGUUCUUAACCUUCUGCCUCCCUCUUCCAGUUUUAAAGAAUGCUUGUAAUUACAUGGGCUCUCCUAGAUACUCCAGGAUAAUCUUGUUUUAAGGUCAGCUGAUGAGCAACAUUAAUUUUAUCUGCACUCUUAAUUCCCCCUUCCUAUGUAAUUGUGCUGUGUAACAUAGGACAUGAGCAAUUGGUGGCGGUGGGGGUUAUUACUUUGGCCACCACAGUAACUAUUUUAUGCCAGGUACUCAGCUAAGCACUGGUGAAUUAAGCAUGAAUAACACACACUCCCUAAUCUCCAUCCAUUCAUGGGAGGAGCACCUCACCUGCCAUGCUCCUGAGAAUCUCGGGAGUCAGAGAAGUCUUCUAUGAGGAGGUGAUGCCAAAGCGGACAAGUGACAGAGGAGUCAAAGCUAGCUAGGAAGAGAGUAGAGGUUUAAGGGGAAGCAUAUUAUAAGCAGAGGAUAUUACCCACUUCAGAGACUCCCAGAGGAGAAAGAGUGUGCGUUGAAGGGGCAGAUGAGGCUCAGUUGGACUCCAUAGCAGAUGAAACGGAGAGGGGCAAGCAGUGAGGCUGCCUUGCAAGGCAGGGCAGAGCAGGGGCUGUUAAGGAGUUUGGACUUAAUCCCUGAGGCAAGGAGAAGUGAUGUAAAUGGGGGAGUAACAUGAUGAGAUUCAUUUACAGACAUGGCUCAGGCUGCUGUAGAGAAGGCACCAGGGAGAGCAGAUGGCUCAAUGGGUGUGCAGGAGACCUCUCACUGAGUUUAGGGAGAGGUUUUUAAAACAGAAGAAGUUUGAGUAAUUUAAAUGAUGAUGGGAAGGAGCUAAAAGUGGGGGAUAGGUUAAAGAUACAGGAAAGUGGGAGGAAGAACUGACAAGUGAGGUUCCAGAGAGGGCAGGAGAAGAGGAGAUUCCCAUAGGGGGAUUAACACUUUCUUUUCUUUUUUCUUUCUAAGACAGGGUCUCACUCUGUCGCCCAGGCUGGAGUGCAGUGGCACAAUCUUGGCUCACUGUAGUGUAGACUUCCCAGGCUCAAGGGAUUUCUCCCACCCCAGACUCCCAAGUAGCUGGAACUAUGGGUGUGCACCACCACCACACCUGGCUAAUGUUUCUUUUUUUGGUAGACACAGAGUCUCACUAUUUAGCACUGAUUGGUCUCCAACUCCUUGCCUCAAGCGAUCCUCCUGCCUAGGCUUCCCAAAUUGCUGGGAUUACAGGCAUGAGCCACAAUGCCUGGCCUCUGCUAGUUCCGUAUUCUCUAGAGUUGUCUUUACUUUGUGCUAGUGUGUCCCUCAUUGUGCUGAUCCUCUGUAAAAAUUAAUACCUUUUUUUUUUUCGAGAUGGAGUUUCACUCUUGUUGCCCAGGCUGGAGUGCAAUGGCGCUAUCUCAGCUCAGCGCAACCUCCACCUGCCGGGUUCAGGCGAUUCUCCUGCCUCAGCCUCCCGAGAAGUGGGGAUUACAGGCAUGUGCCACCAUGCCCAGCUAAUUUUGUAUUUUUAGUAGAGAUGGGGUUUCUCCAUGCUGGUCAGGCUGGUCUCGAACUCCUGACCUCAGGUGAUUUGUCUGCCUUGGCCUCCCAAAGUGCUGGGAUUACAGGCAUGAGCCAUUGUGCCUGGCCAAAAUUAAUACUUUUUAUAUUAAAUUUACAUAUAUAUAUAUAUACGUUUUUUCUUUUUGAUACCGGGUCUCACACUGUCACCCAGGCUGGAGUACAGUGGCACAACCUCUGCUCACUGCAGCCUCCACCUGCCAGGCUCAAGCAAUUCUCCUGCCUCAGCCUCCCGAGUAGCUGGGAUUACAGGUAAGUGCCACCACACCCAGCUGAUUUUUGUGUUUUUUGUAGAGACGAGGUUUCACCAUGUUUCUCAGGCUGUUCUCAAACUCCUGAGCUCAAAGCAGUCCGCCCACCUUGGCCUCCCAAAGUGCUGGGAUUACAGGUGUGAGCCAUCUUGCUCAUUCUAGUUUAAACUUUUGAGUGGUUUUGUCUCCUGAUUGGACUCCUACAAAUACAGAAUUGAUGCUAGGAAGGGUACCAGGAGAUAGACGCACACAGAUGGGAUUUGGGAAUAGGUUUGGUUAUCCAAGGAGCAGUGCUGAGCUCCUUGCUAAUGGGAUAUGGGAUGCUGGUGAUUUCCAGGAAGUGACCUCACAAUGACUCAAGCUACUACAUACUGUUGAUUGUGAAAUGCCAGUUGAAGCAUAUGUCCUGCGAGCUUAGGGGUGCUACAAGUUGACCACUGCAGCAGUAAAGAUGACUCUGAAGAAUGGCAUGGGAUGGAUCCUUUCAAAUGCACUUGAGCAGCGGUCUCCAACCACAGGGCCACAGAGCUGGAGCUGGAUCUACCAUGAAAGACUUCUGAAUCCAGGAAGAGAGACUGACUGGGCAACAUGUUAUUCAGGUACAAAAAGAUUUGGACUGUAACUUAAAAAUGAUCAAAUAAUAGUGCAUGCAUCAAGUGCAAUGGGAAGCUCUUCUGGAGAAUGAGAGAAGCUUCCAGUUAAGGUGACAUUGAAGCCAAGUCCUGAAAGAUGAGGAAGAGUUGUAUGGGAGUGGGGAGGGAAGGAGGAGGUGGAGGGAUGGGGAAUGGGCUGGGAUGGGAUAGCGCAAACUGCCCGGGAAGGGAAACCAGCACUGUACAGAUCUGAACAACGAAGAUGGCAUAUUUUGUUCGGGGAAUGGUGAAUUAAGUGUGGCAGGAAUGCUUUGUAGACACAGUAAUUUGCUUGUAUGGAAUUUUGCCUGAGAGACCUCAUUGCAGUUUCUGAUUUCUUGAUGUCAUCAUCCAUCACUGUCCUUGUCAAAUAGUUUAGAAUAGGUAUAAUGAUCACAAUAACCCCAAGCGUAAUAUUUUGUUAAUUCUCACAGAAUCACAGGUAGGUGCCACAGUUAUCCCCAUUUUAUGAAUGGAGUGAUGAAGCCUUAGGAAUAAUGAAUGAUUUGCCCAAGCUCACCUGGAUAUUAAGACUGAGUCAAAUGUUGGGUUUGGUCUGACUUUAAUGUUUGCUUUGUUCAUGAGCACCACAUAUUGCCUCUCCUAUGCAGUUAAGCAGGUAGGUGACAGAAAAGCCCAUGUUUGUCUCUACUCACACACUUCCGACUGAAUGUAUGUAUGGAGUUUCUACACCAAAUUCUUCAGUGCUCUGGAUAUUAACUGGGUAUCCCAUGACUUUAUUCUGACACUACCUGGAGUUAGCACAGACCCCACAAGUUAGGGGCUCAGUCACAUGAGGCCAUCCUCAUCUCAGAUGCCAAUGGCAAGUCCUAAGUUGUCACCAUACUUUUGACCAACCUGUUACCAAUUGGGGGUUCCCAUAACUGUCUUCUUGGGUUUAAUAAUUUGCUAGAACAGUUUACGGAACUCAGAAAAACAGUUUAUUUUCUUUUUUUCUGAGAGAGAGGGUCUUCUUUUGUUGCCCAGGCUGGUGUGCAAUGGUGUAGUCAUAGGUCAUUGGAGCCUUGAUUGUCUGGGCUCCAGUGGUUCUCCCACCUCAGCCUCCCUAGUAGCUGAGACUACAUGCCUGCACCACCACAUCUGGCUAGUUUCUUUUAUUUUUUGUAUAGAUGGGGUCUUGUUGUGUUGGCCAGGCUGGCCACAAAUUCCUGGUCUCAAGUGAUCCUCCCACCUCAGCCUCUGAAAGUGCUGGGAUUACAGAUGUGAGCCACCACAUCUGGCCAGUUCAUUUCUUAUUACUGGUUCAUUGUGAAGGAUACAUCUCAGAAACAGUCAAUGAAAGAGACGUGCAUGCUGGAUGCAGUGGCUCAUGCCUGUAAUCUCAGCACUUUGGGAGGCCAAGGUGGGAGGAUCACUUAAACUCAAGAGUUUGAGACCAGCCUGGGCAACAUGGUGAAAACCUGUCUCUAUAAAAAAUUAAAAAAUAAUAAUAAUAACCGGUGUGGUGGUGUGCACCUAGAGUUCCUACUACUAGGGAAGCUGAGAUGAGAGGAUACCUUGAGCUGGGGACUGGGGAGGCUUAGGUUACAGUAAGCUGAGAUUGUGCCACUGCACUCUAGCUUGGACAAAAGAGCCUGAUCCUGUCUCAAACAAAAGAAAGAUACCCAGGGCAAGUUAAGUUCGGAGGGGCACAGAGCUCCCAUGCCCUCUGUUGAACAUGCGACCCUCCCAGCAUCUCCUGUGUCCAGCAACCCUGAAAGCUCUGCAAACCCCAUUCAGGGUGUUUAUGGAGGCUUUAUUAUGCAAGCAUGAUUGAUAAAAUCUUUGGCUGUUGGUGAUUAAGUCAGUCUCCAGCCCCUCUUCCUCCUGGAGUUCAGUGCAUGAGGCUGAAAGUUCCAAGCCUCUUAUCAUGUGGUUGCAUGGUUAUCAGCCCUCCUCUUGAAGAAAUUUAGGAGCUUGCUGUCACCCAGUCAUCUCAACAACAUCCCCAAAUGCAUUCUUACCAUGCUGGAGAUCCCAAAGUUCUUAGAGGCUCUUGUGUUAGAAACCUGGGACCAAGACCAAAUAUUAAAACGAAAGAUGUUCCUGUCACAUCUAUCACUGAGGUCUUUGUAAGAGCUUUAGAAGCUCUGUGCCACGAACCAGGGACAGAGAUUAAAUAUAUAUUUCUUUUCUUUUUUUUGAGACAGAAUCUCCUGUGUCAUCCAGGCUGGAGUGCAGUGAUGUGAUCAUAGCUCACUAUAGCUUUGGCCUCCUGAGAUCAAGCAAUCCUCCCAUCUCAACCUCCCAAGUAGCUAGGACUACACAUGCAUGUCACCCAUGCCCAGCUCAUUUUUGUAGAGUCAGAGUUUCGCCAUGGUGGCCAGGUUGGCCAUGUUGGCCAGAUGGGGUCUUCUUUUGUUGCCCAGGCUGGCCACAAGUUCCUGGGCUCAAGUGAUCCUCCCACCUCGUCCUUGUAGAGAUGAGAUUUAGUUAUGUUGUCCAGGCUGAUCUCAAACUCCUGGGCUAAAUCGAUUGUCUCACCUCAGCCUCUCAAGUAGCUGGGACUACAGGUGCAUACCACCAUGUCGGGCUAAUAUUUAUUUUUAUUUUUUUCUAGAGGUGGGAUGUCUCACUGUGUUUUUCAUGCUAGUUUCAAACUUCGGGCCUCAAGUGUUCCUCCUGCCUUGACCUCCCAAAGUGUUGGGAUUCUGGGUGGGAGCCACCAUGCCCAGCAAUCACAAGGGUCUUUAUAAAAGAAAGAGAGUAGGAGAUUCAGAAUUGGAGCAGGAGAGGUGGUGAUGAAAGCAGAGGUAAGAGAGGGAGAUUUGAAGAUGCUUCACCUCUGGCUUUGAAGAUGGAGUCAGGGGCCAUGAUCCAAGGAAUGGGGGUGGCUUCUAGAAGCUGGAAAAGCCAAGGGAACAUAUUAGAGUCUCCAGAAGGAAUGCAGCCCUGCUGACACCUUGACUUUAGCUUUAAUAGACCUAGUUUGGGUUUCUGGCCCCUAGAACUGUAAGGUGGUAGAUUUGUGGUGUUUUAAGCUACUAAAUGUAGGAAACUGCAAACUAUGUUGCAGCAGCAGGAAGAAAUGAACAUGAAGCCAGGCAUGAUGCCCUCGGGUGUUGAGUUACAUCCCACACAUGAAGGUCCCUGUCCUCGUGAAGCGUACGCUUGACUUUUGCUGUUUAAAAGUCUCUUUCUGCAGUAGUACUGAAAUUGAUGGGAACGGUGAGAAGGAGAGGGCACGCUGAAGCCAGUGUCUGCUCGGCCCACCUGGUCCUCGCCUAACUAGCAGCAUCUGCUCUAGAGCCUUCCAUCUGAUGGCUGACCCUCAUCGUUCCAUCUUUGCCUCCUUAGUGAGGCUCCCCAUUGCCACCCCAGGCACCCACAGCCUUCCCCUCCUCCUAAGCCCUAUUGCCCUUACUGUUUCUCACAGCACACAUAGGUUUGCACUGUACAAUAGAAAUCACUUCGACUGAUGAGAGUUUAUUGACUGUCUCUCCCUGGAAGCUUCCAUAGAGACUCCUCAGUCUUCCUUGUCCUACCUCCAUCUCAUCUGUUCCCUUGGGUGUCAUGCUCAGUUCUUUUCAGUAAUGACUUAGUGCCUGCUAUCGGUCAGACGCUGAGGAUACAACGAUGAGAUAAGCCUUGGUCCCCAUCCUCAGGGAGCUUAUAAUGUGUCAGAGGAGGCAGGCAUGUAAGCAUUUUCACGGCUCAGUCCUCUGCUAUGAGCUAUGUUCAAGAAGUAUAUGGGUUUACUUGAAUUCCUAGGAGAUCACAAGCAGACCACUCAGCCCUGACUUCAGCCUACAGAAGACCUCUUGUUGACCACAAAUUCAAGGAUUCAUUGGCCUAAGAUGAUAUUGAAGGAUGAGUAAGAGGUUAGCUAAAAAGAGGGACAAGGGGUAUAGUAGAACAUGGGUUACAAUGGCAGAGCCAGUCAACCCUCCCCACUCCCAGGUAGGUGUCCUCUUGACCCAAGCAUAUAUGGUCCUUGGUGGCUGCACCUCUUGAUGACUACCCAGAGCCCCUGGAACAAAACCCGAGCCCCUCACCUGCACACCUGCCCCUCCUUCCUGUGUGUCCUGCUCUCUGGGGUGAUGGAGGCAUUUCUGUCUUUACCAUGAACGCUUUUCUCAGGAAGACAAAAUUAAAUAAUAAAGCCAUGAUAAUAUGAUUUGUAAUGAGCAAA